CCUAUGGGAGGCAGCAGUGGGGAAUAUUGCACAAUGGGCGCAAGCCUGAUGCAGCCAUGCCGCGUGUAUGAAGAAGGCCUUCGGGUUGUAAAGUACUUUCAGCGGGGAGGAAGGGAGUAAAGUUAAUACCUUUGCUCAUUGACGUUACCCGCAGAAGAAGCACCGGCUAACUCCGUGCCAGCAGCCGCGGUAAU
rnacentral:rRNA from 1 species